rnacentral:rRNA from 1 species
UACGGGAGGCAGCAGUGGGGAAUAUUGCACAAUGGGCGCAAGCCUGAUGCAGCGACGCCGCGUGGGGGAUGACGGCCUUCGGGUUGUAAACUCCUUUCGCUAGGGACGAAGCUUUUUGUGACGGUACCUAGAUAAGAAGCACCGGCUAACUACGUGCCAGCAGCCGCGGUAAUACGUAGGGUGCGAGCGUUGUCCGGAAUUACUGGGCGUAAAGGGCUCGUAGGUGGUUUGUCGCGUCGUCUGUGAAAUUCCGGGGCUUAACUCCGGGCGUGCAGGCGAUACGGGCAUAACUUGAGUACUGUAGGGGUAACUGGAAUUCCUGGUGUAGCGGUGAAAUGCGCAGAUAUCAGGAGGAACACCGAUGGCGAAGGCAGGUUACUGGGCAGUUACUGACGCUGAGGAGCGAAAGCAUGGGUAGCGAACAGGAUUAGAUACCCUGGUAGUCCAUGCCGUAAACGGUGGGCGCUAGGUGUGAGGGUCUUUUCACGACUUUCGUGCCGUAGCUAACGCAUUAAGCGCCU